GCCCCCGUAGCUCAGGUGGACAGAGCAGGGCCCUCCUAAGGCCCGUGUCGCGCGUUCGAGUCGCGCCGGGGGCCCCA
rnacentral:tRNA from 1 species